rnacentral:rRNA from 1 species
GUAAACGGCGGCCGUAACUAUAACGGUCCUAAGGUAGCGAAAUUCCUUGUCGGGUAAGUUCCGACCCGCACGAAAGGCGUAACGAUUUGGGCACUGUCUCAACGAUGGACUCGGUGAAAUCAUAGUACCUGUGAAGAUGCAGGUUACCCGCGACAGGACGGAAAGACCCCAUGGAGCUUUACUGUAGUUUGAUAUUGAGUGUUUGUGUCACAUGUACAGGAUAGGUAGGAGCUGAAGAAUCCGGGACGCCAGUUUCGGAGGAGGCAACGGUGGGAUACUACCCUUGUGACAUGACCACUCUAACCCGCACCCCUUACCGGGGUGGGAGACAGUGUCAGACGGGCAGUUUGACUGGGGCGGUCGCCUCCUAAAAUGUAACGGAGGCGCCCAAAGGUUCCCUCAGAAUGGUUGGAAAUCAUUCGUAGAGUGUAAAGGCAGAAGGGAGCUUGACUGCGAGACCUACAAGUCGAGCAGGGACGAAAGUCGGGCUUAGUGAUCCGGUGGUUCCGUAUGGAAGGGCCAUCGCUCAACGGAUAAAAGCUACCCUGGGGAUAACAGGCUUAUCUCCCCCAAGAGUUCACAUCGACGGGGAGGUUUGGCACCUCGAUGUCGGCUCAUCGCAUCCUGGGGCUGAAGUCGGUCCCAAGGGUUGGGCUGUUCGCCCAUUAAAGCGGUACGCGAGCUGGGUUCAGAACGUCGUGAGACAGUUCGGUCCCUAUCCGUCGCGGGCGUUGGAAAUUUGAGAGGAGCUGUCCUUAGUACGAGAGGACCGGGAUGGACACACCGCUGGUGUACCAGUUGUUCUGCCAAGAGCAUCGCUGGGUAGCUAUGUGUGGACGGGAUAAACGCUGAAAGCAUCUAAGCGUGAAGCCCCCCUCGAGAUGAGAUUUCCCAUCAUUUUAAAUGAGUAAGACCCCUGAGAGACGAUCAGGUAGAUAGGCUAGAAGUGGAAGUGCCGCGAGGCAUGGAGCGGACUAGUACUAAUCGGUCGAGGACUUAACCAC